rnacentral:lncRNA from 7 species
GAAGGGAAAAUGGGUGAUUUUUGGGGUUAAAUGGGAGAUUUUUGAAGAGAAACGGGUGUAUUUCUGCUUAAAUGCGUGAUUUUUAGCCUAAAUGUUGAUUUCGAGAGAAAAUGCCAUGAUUUACCCUUAAAUGGGGGGUUUUUGAGGAGAAAAUGCGUGAUUUUCCAAAUAAUUGGGGAUUUUUGAAGGAAAAUGGGUGAUUUUCGGAUUAAAUGGGGGGUUUUUGAGGAGAAAAUGCGUGAUUUUCCAAAUAAUUGGGGAUUUUUGAAGGGAAAAUGGGUGAUUUUCGAGUUAAAUCUGGGAUUUUUGAAGGGAAAAUGGGUGAUUUUUGGGUUAAAUGGGAGAUUUUUGAAGAGAAAACGGGUGAUUUCUGCUUAAAUGCGUGAUUUUUUAGCUAAAUGUUGGAUUUUCGAAGAGAAAAUGCAUGAUUUACCCUUAAAUGGGGGGUUUUUGAGGAGAAAAUGCGUGAUUUUCCAAAUAAUUGGGGAUUUUUGAAGGGAAAAUGGGUGAUUUUCGGGUUAAAUGGGGGAUUUUCGAAGAGAAAACGGGUGAUUUUCGCUUAAAUGUGUGAUUUUUUGGGAUAAUUGGGGGAUUUUUGAAGAGAAAAUGCAUGAUUUACCCUUCAAUGGGGGAUUUUUGAGGAGAAAAUGCGUGAUUUUGGGGUAAAAAGGGGGAUUUUCAAGGAGAAAAGGGGUGAUUUUUGGGUUAAAUGGGGGAUUUUUGAAACGAAAAGGGGUGAUUUUCACUUAAAUGGGGGAUUUUCGAAGAGAAAAUGGGUGAUUUUGGGGAUAAAUGGGGGAUUUUCGAAGAGAAAAUGCGUGAUUUUUGCUUAAAUGCAUGAUUUUUUUGUUAAAUGGGGGAUUUUUGAGGAGAAAAUGCAUGAUUUACCCUUAAAUGGGGGGUUUUUGAGGAGAAAAUGCGUGAUUUUACAAAUAAUUGGGGAUUUUUGAAAGGAAAAUGGGUGAUUUUCGAAUUAAAUGAGGGAAUUUUGAAGAGAAAAUGGUGAUUUUCGGACUAAAUGGGGGAAUUCUGAAGAGAAAUGGGAGAUUUCUGGGUUAAAUGGGAGAUUUUUGAAGAGAAAACGGGUGAUUUUCGCUUAAAUGCGUGAUUUUUUUAGCUAAAUGUUGGAUUUUCGAAGAGAAAAUGCAUGAUUUACCCUUAAAUGGGGGGUUUUUGAGGACAAAAUGCGUGAUUUUCCAAAUAAUUGGGGAUUUUUGAAGGGAAAAUAGGUGAUAUUCGGAUUAAAUGGGAGAAUUUUGAAGAGAAAAUGCAUGAUUUUUGGGUUAAAUGGUGCAUUUUCGAAGAGAAAACGGGUGAUUUUCGCUUAAAUGCGUGAUUUUUUAGCUAAAUGUUGGAUUUUCGAAGAGAAAAAAUGCGUGAUUUACCCUUAAAUGGGGGAUUUUCGAGAGAAAAUGAGGUGAUUUGGGGUAAAAUGGGAAAGUUUUUCGAAGAGAAAAGGGGUGAUUUUCACUUCAAUGGGGAUUUUUGAAGAGAAAAGGGGUGAUUUUCACUUAAAGGGGGGAUUUUCGAAAAGAAAAUGGGUGAUUUUUGCUUAAAUGGGGCAUUUUUGUCGGGAAAAUGGGUGAUUUUUCGAGUUAAAUCUGGGAUUUUUGAAGGGAAAAUGGGUGAUUUUCCCUUAAAUGGGGGGUUUUUGAGGAGAAAAUGCGUGAUUUCCAAAUAAUUGGGGAUUUUUGAAGGGAAAUGGGUGAUUUUCGAGUUUAAAUGGCUAGGGGAUUUUUGAAGGGAAAAUGGGUGAUUUAUGGGUUAAAUGGGAGAUUUUUUGAAGAAGAAAAGGGUGAUUUCCUGCUUAAAAAUAGCGUUGAUUUUUUUUUA